CCACUAUUCAUUGGUAAAAGAGUAGCCCAAGAGUUGGCGGUGGGUGGGGAUGACUAGCUGCCUUCCCUCCUAGUCUUACUACUGCUAAAUUAGGGUACGGACGUAGCGCAGAUAGCCUCUGUAGCUUUGCGCGAAAUUCAAAAACAAACAAAC